rnacentral:rRNA from 2 species
UAUACAAAGAGAAGCGACCUCGCGAGAGCAAGCGGACCUCAUAAAGUAUGUCGUAGUCCGGAUUGGAGUCUGCAACUCGACUCCAUGAAGUCGGAAUCGCUAGUAAUCGUAGAUCAGAAUGCUACGGUGAAUACGUUCCCGGGCCUUGUACACACCGCCCGUCACACCAUGGGAGUGGGUUGCAAAAGAAGUAGGUAGCUUAACCUUCGGGAGGGCGCUUACCACUUUGUGAUUCAUGACUGGGGUGAAGUCGUAACAAGGUAACCGUAGGGGAACCUGCGGUUGGAUCACCUCCUUACCUUAAAGAA